rnacentral:rRNA from 1 species
ACUGCUCAGUAACACGUGGACAACCUACCCUCCGGACGGGUAUAAACCCGGGAAACUGGGUAUAAUCCCCGAUAGAUCUCGGUCGCUGGAAAGCUCCGAGAUCGAAAGCUCCGGCGCCAGAGGAUGGGUCUGCGGCCUAUCAGGUAGUAGUGGGUGUAGCGUACCUACUAGCCUACGACGGGUACGGGUUGUGAGAGCAAGAGCCCGGAGAUGGAUUCUGAGACACGAAUCCAGGCCCUACGGGGUGCAGCAGGCGCGAAAACUUUACAAUGCCGGCAACGGCGAUAAGGGGACCUCGAGUGCCAGGUUACAAAUCUGGCUGUCGUGAUGCCUAAAAAGCAUUGCAUAGCAAGGGCCGGGCAAGACCGGUGCCAGCCGCCGCGGUAACACCGGCGGCUCGAGUGGUAACCGUUAUUAUUGGGUCUAAAGGGUCUGUAGCCGGCCGGAUAAGUCUCUUGAGAAAUCCAGCAGCUCAACUGUUGGGCUUUCAGGAGAUACUGUCUGGCUCGAGGCCGGGAGAGGUGAGAGGUACUUCAGGGGUAGGGGUGAAAUCUUGUAAUCCUUGAAGGACCACCAGUGGCGAAGGCGUCUCACCAGAACGGACCUGACGGCAAGGGACGAAAGCUAGGGGCACGAACCGGAUUAGAUACCCGGGUAGUCCUAGCCGUAAACGAUACUCGCUAGGUGUCGGCCACGGUGCGACCGUUGUCGGUGCCGUAGGGAAGCCGUGAAGCGAGCCACCUGGGAAGUACGGCCGCAAGGCUGAAACUUAAAGGAAUUGGCGGGGGAGCACCACAACGGGUGGAGCUUGCGGUUUAAUUGGAUUCAACGCCGGG